rnacentral:rRNA from 1 species
GUGGGGAAUAUUGGACAAUGGGCGAAAGCCUGAUCCAGCAAUGCCGCGUGAGUGAUGAAGGCCUUAGGGUUGUAAAGCUCUUUUACCCGGGAUGAUAAUGACAGUACCGGGAGAAUAAGCUCCGGCUAACUCCGUGCCAGCAGCCGCGGUAAUACGGAGGGAGCUAGCGUUGUUCGGAAUCACUGGGCGUAAAGCGCACGUAGGCGGCUACUCAAGUCGGGGGUGAAAGCCCGGGGCUCAACCCCGGAACUGCCCUCGAAACUAGGUAGCUAGAAUCUUGGAGAGGCGAGUGGAAUUCCGAGUGUAGAGGUGAAAUUCGUAGAUAUUCGGAAGAACACCAGUGGCGAAGGCGACUCGCUGGACAAGUAUUGACGCUGAGGUGCGAAAGCGUGGGGAGCAAACAGGAUUAGAUACCCCAGUAGUCC